CAGCAGCCGCGGUAAUACAGAGGGUGCAAGCGUUAAUCGGAAUUACUGGGCGUAAAGCGCGCGUAGGUGGUUUGUUAAGUUGGAUGUGAAAUCCCCGGGCUCAACCUGGGAACUGCAUCCAAAACUGGCAGGCUAGAGUAGGGCAGAGGGUGGUGGAAUUUCCUGUGUAGCGGUGAAAUGCGUAGAUAUAGGAAGGAACACCAGUGGCGAAGGCGACCACCUGGGCUCAUACUGACACUGAGGUGCGAAAGCGUGGGGAGCAAACAGGAUUAGAUACCCCAGUAGUCCCUGUCUCUUAUAC
rnacentral:rRNA from 1 species